UCUACUAAUAGCCUCAUCAGGUGUUCCACAAUCCCAGCUUUCACAGCCUUCACCUUGUUACCCUGGUAGAUACACAAAUUAAAGAUUGCAGUUGCCGCAUCUUUCUUGCCUCUUGGGCUACCUCGGCGUAGCAGAUCAACAAGUGCAGGUAUUGCGCCAGCUGCCCCAAUUAUCACCUUGUUUUCAUCUACAACUGAUAAACUGAAAAGGGUAGCUGCAGCAUUUUCCUUUGCCUCCAUGCUCCCAUUUUGCAGCACACCUACUAUCCUCGGUAUUGCAUGGGCAUUCACAAUAUUGUCCUUGUUGCUAUCAUUGAUUGAGAGGUUGAGGAGUGCUGUAACUGCAUGCUCCUGUGUUCUAGGAUCCGAAGACGAUAGGAGUUCCACAAGGAAUGGAAUUGCACCUGCUUCAGCAAUGCAUACUCUAUUGUUUGCAUUUCUUUUUGCAAGCAGCCGCAGUUCGCCUGCAGCUGCCCUCUGCUCGUCCUGAUUCCCACUUUUUAAUUUCUGCAGUAGUGAGUUUAUACCAGCACGAUCGCAAUCCGAGUGACGUCCCGGCUUCUUGUCUCGGCAAUUCCCUUGCUUGUUUGGCAGAUCAAUGCCGUUGGCAUCACACCAUUGCGCAAUGAGGCUUCUCAGGACAAAAUUAGGGGUAAGAGCAGUGUUAGACAGGUUUUGCUGUGUCUUGGGGCAAGUUCUGUGUCCAGCAUCAAGCCAUUUCUGGAUGCAAGACCUCUCAUAGGUCUGUGCCAAGCAGAAAGAUACAAAUAACUUAUACAAGACUAUUUAAAAAAAAAAAGAAAAAAAAAUCAUGUUCUUAUAAGAUUUUGAUAAUUAUUACCUGCCCUGUGGAGACAAUGACAGGGUCCUUCAUCAGCUCGAGGGAAAUUGGGCACCGAAAAUCAUCUGGAAUGAUA
rnacentral:lncRNA from 1 species